UUGUGAAAACGGAUGAUCGCUGUUUUUUAGCAGAGGAAAGUCCGGACUCCGAGAAGGAAAGGUGCCAGAUAACCUCUGGCGACGCAGUUUGCGUCAGGGAAAGUGCAACAGAAAACACACCGCCCUUCGGGGUAAGGUUGAAAUGGCGAGGUAAGAGCUCACCGCGCGGCUGGCAACAGUCGCGGCAGUGCAAACCCCACCUGGAGCAAGAUCAAAUAGGAAUAACGCCCGCCUUCUGGCCAUGUUAUUCGGGUAGAUCGCUUGACGUUUGCGGCGACGCAAAUGCUAGAUGAAUGAUCAUCGGGAUAAUUAUCCCACAGAAUCCGGCUUAUAGUUUUCACAAAAAC
rnacentral:RNase_P_RNA from 1 species